GGCUGCGCCCGGAGAAGCCCUGACUCAUUACCGAAGGACGCGGGUUCGAUUCCCGCCACCUCCACCA
rnacentral:tRNA from 1 species